rnacentral:rRNA from 1 species
UACGUAGGUGGCGAGCGUUGUCCGGAUUUACUGGGCGUAAAGCGUGCGCAGGCGGCGCGUUAAGACAGGUGUGAAAGCCCCCGAGCUUAACUUGGGAAUUGCGCUUGUGACUGGCGUGCUGGAGUGUGGCAGAGGGAGGUGGAAUUCCACGUGUAGCAGUGAAAUGCGUAGAGAUGUGGAGGAACACCGAUGGCGAAGGCAGCCUCCUGGGCCAGCACUGACGCUCAUGCACGAAAGCGUGGGGAGCGAA